rnacentral:rRNA from 1 species
UACGGAGGGUGCGAGCGUUGUCCGGAAUCACUGGGCGUAAAGGGCGCGUAGGCGGCCCGCGAAGCGUGGGGUGAAAGUCCGGGGCUCAACCCCGGAUCGGCCCUGCGAACUUGCGGGCUGGAGCACUGUAGGGGCGGGUGGAAUUCCGGGUGUAGCGGUGGAAUGCGUAGAGAUCCGGAAGAACACCGGUGGCGAAGGCGGCCCGCUGGGCAGUGGCUGACGCUGAGGCGCGACAGCGUGGGGAGCAAACAGG